rnacentral:rRNA from 1 species
GCUGGAAUCGCUAGUAAUCGCGGAUCAGAAUGCCGCGGUGAAUACGUUCCCGGGGUCUUGUACACACCGCCCGUCACACCAUGGGAGUCAGUAACGCCCGAAGCCGGUGACCCAACCUAAUCAGGAGGGAGCCGUCGAAGGCGGGACGGAUGACUGGGGUGAAGUCGUAACAAGGUAAC